GGGAGGAAGGGCAGUUGCCUAAUACGUAACUGUUUUGACGUUACCGACAGAAUAAGCACCGGCUAACUCUGUGCCAGCAGCCGCGGUAAUACAGAGGGUGCAAGCGUUAAUCGGAAUUACUGGGCGUAAAGCGCGCGUAGGUGGUUUGUUAAGUUGGAUGUGAAAUCCCCGGGCUCAACCUGGGAACUGCAUUCAAAACUGACUGACUAGAGUAUGGUAGAGGGUGGUGGAAUUUCCUGUGUAGCGGUGAAAUGCGUAGAUAUAGGAAGGAACACCAGUGGCGAAGGCGACCACCUGGACUGAUACUGACAC
rnacentral:rRNA from 1 species